AUUGAACGCUGGCGGCAGGCCUAACACAUGCAAGUCGAGCGAGCGGCGGACGGGUGAGUAAUGUAUGGGGACUGCCCGAUAGAGGGGGAUAACUACUGGAAACGGUAGCUAAUACCGCAUACUAUCGGAUAACCCAUAUGGGAUUAGCUAGUAGGUGAGGUAAUGGCUCACCUAGGCGACGAUCCCUAGCUGGUCUGAGAGGAUGAUUAGGCAGACGGGGACUGAGACACGGCCCAGAGACCUAGGGAGGCAGCAGAGGGGAAUAUUGCACAAUGGGCGCAAGCCGUAGACAGCCAUGCAGCGUGUAUGAAGAAGGCCCUAGGGUUUUAAAGUACGUUCAGUCGGGAGGCGUUACCGACAGAAGAAGCACCGGCUAACUCCGUGCCAGCGGCCGCGGUAAUUC
rnacentral:rRNA from 1 species